GUUCAAAUGAGAUUAAUAAUUUCUCUUUCCUCAGUUCCUUAGAAUGAAUAUUCCAGUGCUUCAAUAAUCAAACCUUCAAUAAUCCAGUGAAACAAUUUGUAGAAAUUGCAACGCAGAUAUCAACAGAAGAAAAAUUUUCACCGGAUGAUGACCGGAUGGCCUACAUCAUAGGAUUUCAACACGAAAACAGCACGUGGAUAACAAAACAAAAGCAGCUUCUGCCUAGGGCGGAGUCAGCGUGACCUACUUACAUACAACUGGCUGCCCAGUUGUGCAGUGCAGAUCAAUAUCACAAAUCAGAACAAGUUUACAACAAAAACUUUUUCUUUAGUUUUUUU